rnacentral:tRNA from 1 species
GCGGGUGUGGCGGAAUUGGCAGACGCGCUAGAUUCAGGUUCUAGUGGCCCACAAGGCCAUGGAGGUUCAAGUCCUCUCACCCGCA